UACGUAGGUGGCAAGCGUUGUCCGGAUUUAUUGGGUUUAAAGGGUGCGUAGGCGGCUUUGUAAGUCAGUGGUGAAAUAUGGCAGCUUAACUGUCAGGGUGCCAUUGAUACUGCGGAGCUUGAGUACAGAUGAGGUAGGCGGAAUUGACGGUGUAGCGGUGAAAUGCUUAGAUAUCGUCAAGAACACCUAUAGCGAAGGCAGCUUACUAGGCUGUAACUGACGCUGAGGCACGAAAGCGUGGGGAGCAAACAGG
rnacentral:rRNA from 1 species